ACAGACGUAUACGCGGUCAGUAACGCACUUGAAUUCUUGUUGCUGCGCGUUCUGUUUUUUUUUUUUGGUUUCUUCUCUUUGAGCUUCUCUCUGCAUCGAUUCACCGUGCUUGCGUGUUUGCUCAAGCAAGCAGGUGAGCGCAGCCGUCAUAGCAGGCGUAGGUAAGAGCACGCAAAAGAAACGAAACACACACACACACAUACAGCAGUCGCCGCACGGAUAGCAGCACCCUAUUUUGGUUCUCAAGCCUCUCCGCUUCUCUCUCCCGCCUUUUCCCGUACUCCAACGGUUUUCUUUUUUUUUUGUCGUGUGUAUCUCCAUUCUCGCUUGUUUUCUUCUCUGUUUUGCGUGUGCACCCCCCCCCCCUCUUCCUCUCUUCAUCUCUCACAAGCCGUGGAGUUUCGUGUGUGACUGUGAGAGGGUCUGCACGUACGCUGUACCUCCGUCUCCUUCGCCCACCCUUUUACCGGUGUGGCCACUGCAGCGACUCAUAGUUAGCUUCCAUCUCUUCCGCCCAUCUUUCUUGCGUGCUGCUAUUCGGCAGGUUCAGUUUUUUGUUCUUUGUCUUUUUGUUUCCACUGUUGUGCCCCCUCCCCCGUACCUCCUCUUCCUCUGCUGUUUUUCCGUAGUGCUGCGCUUGCGAUCCUUGCCCUCGUCGGUCAAAGUGGUCGUGUAUUCUCACCCCACAUCGGCCUCGUGCGGGUCCUUUCUUGAGUCCCUCAAACCUGUGUGUGCUUCUUUGCGUGCUACAGCUCGAUACUCGAGAUGGCCUCUAGUGCGAAGAAAAAGGAGAAGACCGGCCACCGCCGCUCCUCGUUGUCGUCCAACUCCGGAGACAAAAAGCCUUCGUCCGUAUCCUCUGCACACAUGAGCAGCAGCGGCCACAAGCCUUCGGCAUCUGGCGGUGCACAGCUCCCGCGGCAUCAGAGCACCGCAUCAGCGGCCGUGCCUUCGUCCUUGCCGCGAAAGCCGUCGGCGAGGGUAUCUGCUUCAGCGUCCAAGCCAGCCGCGCCUUUCGCAGCUUUGCAAAGCGAUGCCAAGCGCGCGGGCAGCAGCGCUUCCCCUGUGCCAUCGUCGGCGGCUCCCACGACUAUACAAGCCGGUUUCCCCGCCACGUCUCCUGCCAGCGGUGCACGCAGCGCGCCCGCUCCUGCUGGGGCUCCGACAACAGCCAAUGCGGCGCCAGGCUCGCAGAACGCUAUGGUCGCCGAUGGCUAUGGCUGGAUGGGGCCCACCGGCUACGACUCCAUAGGUGCCGAUGGGGCGGGUACCAUGGAAUACAAUGGAUUGGGGUCCAUGGGCCCUGGCGGUUAUAUCAUGGGCGAUGGCAGGCACAACUACCUGGGGGGAUACGGCUCAAUGGGCCCUGGUGGCUACGGCAGCAUGAAUGGCAGUGUGUCGGGCAACUACGGCUCCAUAGGCGGUGGUGAAAACGGCAUGACCUCGAUUUACGGCAUGGGUGGGCCGAUGGGCUCCAUGUACGGCAUGGGCAGCAACCUGAUGGGCUCCAUGUACGGCAUGGCGGCAACCGAUGGGCUCCAUGUACGGCAUGGGCGGCAACCCGAUGGGCUCCAUGUACGGCAUGGGCGGCAACCCGAUGGGCUCCAUGUACGGCAUGGGCGGCAACCCGAUGGGCUCCAUGUACGGCAUGGGCGGCAACCCGAUGGGCUCCAUGUACGGCCUGAGUUGCUACAACAUGGGUCUGGGCAGCAACGGAGCCUCCAUGUACGGCAUCGGCCCCUUCAACAGCCGCAUGAGCUUUCGCAGCACCGGCGGCUACGUCGGCGGCGCCUUCGGCAGCCUCUGGCGUGCACCGUCAGCCUACACCUCGCGUCCGAAGCAGGACAUCAGCAUCCCACCGCCGUCCUCGUCCCUUCACGAGGAGAUGCGGGAAGAAAAGGAUGACACAGCAGGCACGUCGAAGGACUCGGGCGCGAAGGCCACUGCGCGCGGCGAGGCGACUCUCGGUGCGGAGAAGAGCAAGACGCAUGCCGUGGAGGGCACGGGGGCCGACAAGAAGGACGCGGACGCGAAGGAUGCGGAGAAGAGUCGCGACCGUGCCAUGCCGACGGCGAUGGCGUCUUCGCACCGUCUUACGAAGCAGGUGAACGACAACGUGCACGUCAUUGCCGUGUUGGCGAAGGAGUCGAUGCUGAGCCACCCCGACAAGUCCGUGACGGUAGGCACAAACACGUACCAGAUGGACGAGGUUGCGGUGUCCCCGGUGAAUAUAGACAAGUCGGACUUGCUGAGGGAUAUCGUGGAGCAGACGCACUGCGGCCACAACGUGUCCAUACUGGCCCUCUGCGGCUCUCAGCCGUACACGGCGUGCACUGAACCAAUCACUGCCGUUGUCAAGCGCAUGAUGGAGUCGUUCGCGGAGGAUAAGGCGCAGGUGACGCAGGUGAAGGCGUCGGCGGUGUCGUUCGCCGAGGCCGGCAACAUGAUCGACCUCCUCGAGGCGAACGCGAAGCCGGCCAAGGCGGAGAUCGGCUCCAACCCGAUCUACGGCCCGUGUGUGAUGAACGCGUCUGAGAAGGACAUCAUGUCGGCGGCUGAGGCGGCCGAGGUUGUCAUCGGUACCGCCGCGAAGGCUGCGAAAGAGUGUCUCGUCGUCAUCAUGUACAAGAUCAAGCAGAUCCGCCCUGUCACCACGAGCGGCGCCGCGCCAGCGAAGGACGUGUACGUCUCGUCCAUGCUAGUCGCCAUGGUGAACGACGCCGGCAUGCAGAAUCUGAAGGCGGCCGAGAAGCACGCCACAACUGAACCCGCGCUCAUCUUCACCAACGCGAUUGGCGGCGCUAGCCGCACCGUGGCCAUUGUGCAUGUGCCGGAGAAAGAUGCUGAAAAGCUGGUCGGCGGCGCCGCCGCCCACUCCCAGGGCCUACGCGAAAUCAAGAACUCGCCAACACGCAGUGGCAACGUAAAGCGCUUUAUCGACUACACGGAGCGCGCAGCGGCAGCCAACACGAAGGCGUCCCCGGAGACCACAGCGAAGAUUGACCGUAUGCUCAAGGACGCGAAGGAGCUGCUGGCCAGGCCUGAGCAGACGCCGCUGAUGGCGUACAACCUCUUUGGUAGCAACUCGUCCACGAGCCCGCCGGAGACGGUGCCCCAAAGCGGCGAGGCUGCCGCGAAGAAGGCUGAUGCGCCGGCCGAACCCGCUGCGGAGAAGCCCGCCGAAACGGUCGCUGUGGCGUCUGACGCCACGCCGACCGCUAAGCCAGAGUCGGAGACGCAGGUGCGUCUUGUCGUGUGCGUCGACGGCACGGCGACAAUUCUGGCGGAGCGGGUGAGGGCGGAUGAGGUGGUGGUCCGAACCCACCCGGACGAAGUGCCCGAGUCAGAUACGCUCAAGACGCUGCGCGCCGUUUUCGGUAAGGGCCGCAACGUGGCCUUGCUCUCGGCAGAGACGCAGCCGAGGAUUCCGCUCAAAAACCAGUACACAUGGAAGAGCGUUGCAGAGAUCCUUACAAAGGCGUUUGAGUCGCCACCGGUGCAGGCGAAAGACACGUGCAUUGAGCUCUUCAUGUCCGUUGUGCGCAAGCGCCAGGUGCUCUGCGAUCUCAUGGCGAACGGCGCGGCGUCGGCGGGGCCCAAGCCUCUCGGCACGGCGUCGUCGCCGCUCUUUGGUCCGGUCCUUGUCGACACGACCUACAAAACAUUGCGGCAGGCGUUAGACGUGAAGCCGGCACUGGAUCAGGCGCUGCAAGCCGCUCCGGCCCACCUCACGGAGCCGGACUCCAUGAUUGUCAUGACGGCGGUGCUGAAGCAACUGAAGACGAACGACGAUGUGGUCGUGGCCUCUUUCAUGGCCGCCUCCGGGCCGUCGGCGGCCGGCGUUUGCGGCGCGAUGUCGAAGAACCCGGAUUACUCGCGCUCUCUGCUGUCCUACGCGAUCGGCGGCCCGUGCGUGACGUCGCUGCUCGUGUGCGUCGGCAAUGACCACGAGUCCAAUGAGGCGGCCAAGAGCAGCCUGACCGACAUGCAUGCUCUGACUAAGCAGCCGAACCACGCGAGCCGUGAUGGCAGUGUAAUGGCGUUCAUCGACUACGCCAAGAAGGGCCUCGAGGCGAAUAGGCUGAAGCUGGAGAGGGCCCAAGGGGAGGAGCGUGACCGACUCACGGCGGUCUUAAAGCGGCUGCAGAUCAUGCACGACGACUACGACAACCUUCUCAAGUGCCGGGGGGAGAGCAUGCCGGCAUACUACAUGGGCGACAAGCGCGUCAGCCCGACACCAGGCAUGAGCGGUGGCAAGCCGGAAGAUGCUACCGAUGCAACUGCCUCAGCUCACGAGAAGCCACAGAAAGAUGUGGGCGUGAAGGCGUCGGCGCCAAUCCGGGUUUCUGCGGUUAUCAUGGACGAUGACGACGAUGCCAGCGGCGCGGCCAACAAGACGCCGAUGGAAGUGACGGACAAGGAGCUGAUCAUCAAUGAACAGCGCUACACCCCGACGGAGGUGGUACAGGUGAAGGGCGGGUCGAUCCGGUCCGCCAUGAUCGAUGAGAUGCACAAGAUCGUGCUCGACGGCUACAAUGCCGCCAUGCUGACGAGCGACGUCGGGGGCAGCACGGUAGGCAUCUCGAUGGCUGUCAAGACUAUCACUGUGAUUAUGCGCGGCCUACCGAAGGACAGCGAGGCAUUCUGGUCGGUGACUGUGUCGAAAGACAACAAGGUGAAGGACUUGCUGGCCGAUAACUCUCCCUACUAUGAUCUCCACCUCGCCUCCUCGCCCCUCUUUGGCAACGUGCCGUACGGCGCGAAUAUCGUGCCAGUCGCGGAGGCGCAGGUGGAGCCGAUUGUGCGAGAGGUGCGCAAUGAGGUGCGCGAAAAAGGUGGCGUGGGCUACAUCGCCGUCAUUCUGCGGAUCCUACAGUCCGACGGCGAUGUCUGUGUGCCGUCCUUCCUGGUCGCCAUCGCGGGGGAAAGCGUCGAAGAGUACGAAAAGGUCCUCUCGACGCGCAGCAGCGCGUCGCUGCUCGGCACUGCCAUUGGUGGCCCCUGCAACAGCAUCUACGUGGCUGGCAUCCGCGGCAAGUCUGGCGAGAUGGCGCAACCAGUGCUUGAGCUAGCCGCGAAGAUGAUGCGUGUGCAUAACGGUCCCCUCCGCAGCUGCAGCCUGAAUCGCUUCAUCACCCAAACGGAGCUGGCGGUGGCGGCGAUGCAGCGCAAGAUCGAAGCCAGUGGCGGGGCACCGAACCCACAGCUACUGUCACAGGUUGGCCGCAUUGGGACGAUGCUCAAGGACGCGCAGAACAUGCUGAAAUCGCCAGGUGGUAGCGCGCCGGCGGUCUACAAGCGUUAACCGGGGUCGCACGGCCGGCGAUGCACACGUCGUUUUUUUUUUGCUUGUCACCUCUUCCUCUCUGCAGCGCUAGUGGUUGUCUUUGGGCUUCGCCUUCCACCUCUAUCCCAUGUGCCCGGGGUGCCGUGUCUGUCAUUCUUUUGGUGUUUUCGUGUUCCGGCGUUGCUCUCUUUUUUUUUUCGUCCUUGCACGUGCGUGUGUAUGUGUGCGCCGAAAGAGUUCAGUGUUGUUUUUCGUUUUCUUUUUUUCUGUUCUCUGCCAUAUUUCUAUUUUCUGCGUGUCUGUCCACCUCUUUCUCUCUCUUUGUGCAUAUGUUCCUACUCGCACCCGCCCUCCUCGGGCAUCCUUUUUAUGUUUUUGCUCUGCUUUAUUCUUUGUUUUAUUGGCCCUCUGACAACGUCGUCGUUUCUCUCCUUUUUUUCUGCCCUUUUUGUGAUUAGACUUGGUUGCGUUCCUUUUGCUGGGUAGAAACGGAACCUCUUCUCUCGUGCCGUGGGCGUGUGACUGGAUGUGCAUUGAUGCAUGCGUAGGCUAUCUCUUUCCUUUUUCGCUUUUUUUUGUUCAGUGGCCCUCCCUCUUCCCUCUCUGUAGCAGCACUCACCCUCCCUUUUCUCAUGAGGCGAUAUUUUCCCAUUCAAUGCCCCCCCCCCCCGUCCAGCAUUUCUUUCUCUCGGUCUCCCGUCCUCCCUCGCAAUAUGAAGAUCGAGCACCGUCAUCAGCUCGCACCUCCACUUUGACUCACUCACACAACAUGAGCAGCAAAGGUGCACAUAAGCACCGCGGAAGCGCGAGUUGCCCGAGCCUGCGCGCAUCUGUCAGAAAGAGAGGGCCCAAGAAAGACAAGACACAAGGGCGAUGGAGGAUGGGGUGAGAUGGGGGGAUGAGGGAGGCGGAAAGAGGUGCUAUAGUAGAAUCAAUGUGCAUUCCCCGUUAUAUGUGCGAAGCCUCUUUUCUUUCGCUCCUUAUGUGUUUGUGUGUACGCGCUGACUGAUGCUGGUGGAUCCUGUUUUCUUUUUCUUCGAUGUGCUUAUGCGUGUGCAUGUCACUCCCUUCCCAGCUGCCCAUUCCUGUCGGUGGUGGGCCUCAAGUGCGUCGUGCCGUGUCUGGCUGUUCGUUGAGUUCCCUAUGUGCUUUGAUGUCCACUUGUGUGCACACCCUCUGUGCUCAUUUUUUUUUUCGAAAUGUACGAUGGAGUCUGAAUGGCGUUGCACUUGCUUUGUAGCUCUUCUUUUUCCGUGUUCUCUUCUGUUCAAACCGAUGCGCAAGUACAGGGCUCCUCAUCAUUGCUCCACACCGCCACACACCCUUUUUCUCUUUUUGGGGUGGGGGCGUCCUAAAUUUGAUCGGCUUUCAUACACAUGCUUUCGUGUUUCCUUCUCCCCUUUUUGGUUUGCCGCUUGCCCUCUCUUACUGUUUUUCUUUUGCUUUUCUUGUCUCGGAAACGAAGGGGAGCUCUCGCUAUUGUCGACUUUUUUUUCGUCGAGCAGCUCCUAAACCUGUGUAGGCACUGACCGGUUUGCCUUUCUUCAUCUGAGGCGGCUCGCUAGGCUCGCGGGAUUCAUCACUUGUGCACAGCACACACGUAAAAGGCGUUUAUCGCACGUGACUGUUACUCAUCUGCCAUUCAGCCAUCAGUGCACGUGCUUUGCUAACCUCUGAGUCAGGGAUUUCCUCACAACCACCUCCUAAGGCUGGAAUAGGCGAGAUUGGAUAUGCGGGAGGGGGUGAGAGUGACUUGUUACCCAUGCCGUAGGUAGCCAUGUACAGGCGAAGCAGGCAAACAUCCUGUAUAUUGUGCACUUUUUCUUCUUCCUUCGUGGGGAAUGAAAAGUGCCUCGCGCAGUUUCCGCUCCAACCUUCACCCGUGCCGACUCCUGUUUCUCGGGACAGAGGUUGCAGAGGACUUAUCCAGCUUGGCGUCGGAGCAUACCGUCGCACAAGCACGUUGGUGACAUGUGGGGUAGAAAGUCACCAUCAUUUUUCAUCGACCCAUCUCCUUGAACUCCUCCUUCUCGGACGCUGCGGGACCCACGCUCGUCAGCCGCGUGAUUUACAUAACUCAAAGUCAUUCAUUUCAAACAUUGGGGAGAGCAGGCAAAUGCUAAUGUGCGUAUCUGCGCAUAAAGCACAACUCUGGCAGGUGUGAAAGUGCUUGCUCAUCCUCUUCCUUUUUGUUGUUGCUCUGUUUACUCACGUUUCCCCCUCUGUGUUCGUUUUUUUUUUCGUUAGUUUUGCGUUUUUUUUUAGCUUUCCUUGCGUCAGCAUAGGAGCAUGCGUGUCUGUGUGUCUGUUAGGUGUGGAUACACAGAUUUGUGUUCGCUUUACCCAGCUCUCCUUCGACAACUUUGGUACGAAAAAAAAAGAAAACACACAAAAAGGAAGAAGUCACCAUCGCUGGCCCCACCUCGCGCGUAUCGUGGGCAAACCAACUGUGUCGCGUGCAUUGGCCUGCCGGCUGUAUUUUUUGUGCCCUCUUCAUUUGUAUCUCAUUAAGCCACAUCCCCUUCCUCUUCACUCUGUCUUCGAAAUGGUUCCCUGAUCCGCCAUCAUGGCGAGUUU
rnacentral:misc_RNA from 1 species